rnacentral:lncRNA from 1 species
GGGGAUUCAGUGUAAAAAACCAAAAAAUAGAGGGAAAUACAGAUCAAAUUUGCUUUUUUUCGAAGGUUUUUACUUUGGUAGUUUUCGUCGUUUCUUUUUGUUUAUAUUUCUUUUUUUAUUUCUUUUUAUUUUCUUUUAUUUUCAUUUUGUUUUACCUAAAAUAACAUAGAAAAGAAAGAAAAACUUACCUGGACGCCGG